rnacentral:rRNA from 1 species
UACGUAGGGUGCGAGCGUUGUCCGGAAUUAUUGGGCGUAAAGAGCUUGUAGGCGGUUUGUCGCGUCUGCUGUGAAAUUCCAGGGCUUAACCCUGGGCUUGCAGUGGGUACGGGCAGACUAGAGUGUGGUAGGGGGAGACUGGAAUUCCUGGUGUAGCGGUGAAAUGCGCAGAUAUCAGGAGGAACACCGAUGGCGAAGGCAGGUCUCUGGGCCACUACUGACGCUGAGAAGCGAAAGCGUGGGGAGCGAACAGG